GGCAUAAAAACUCUGAAGUGAUCGCUGCUUCCCUCCCACCCUCUACCUUGCUUAAACACAGCACUCUAGAAGCAAGCUGCCUCAAACAGCUAAGAAAACAGAAGUCUCCAGAAGAAACCACCCCAAGUAAAACCUCCCCUAAGCUUCAACAUGGAUUGACUGGCAGGUGAAAUUGUGAAGGGUCGAUGGCCCAGAAGAGGAUCUGUAAAAUGAGGCUCAGUGUCUCACAGCACAGAUUAGAAGAGAACAUCAAAAGACAGACCACAACAGAUGCAAGAAACAUGAUCAUCAUGAUAUCUCGGUUCUCUUUUCCAUCAUCCCCAAACCCACAAUGGAGUUUUGCCUGUGCAAAGAUACAGCAAUGGGCUACUUGGACUAAAUUCACCCCUAUGUAAUACCAUCAAUUUCAGCAGAAGUACAUAAAAGAUGAAUUUGCCCUU